rnacentral:rRNA from 1 species
GAUGAACGCUGGCGGCGUGCCUAAUACAUGCAAGUCGAGCGAACAGACGAGGAGCUUGCUCCUCUGACGUUAGCGGCGGACGGGUGAGUAACACGUGGAUAACCUACCUAUAAGACUGGGAUAACUUCGGGAAACCGGAGCUAAUACCGGAUAAUAUAUUGAACCGCAUGGUUCAAUAGUGAAAGACGGUUUUGCUGUCACUUAUAGAUGGAUCCGCGCCGCAUUAGCUAGUUGGUAAGGUAACGGCCUACCAAGGCAACGAUGCGUAGCCGACCUGAGAGAGUGAUCGGCGACACGGGAACGGAGACACGGUCCAGACUCCUACGGGAGGCAGCAGUAGGGAAUCUUCCGCAAUGGGCGAAAGCCUGACGGAGCAACGCCGCGUGAGUGAUGAAGGUCUUCGGAUCGUAAAACUCUGUUAUUAGGGAAGAACAAAUGUGUAAGUAACUAUGCACGUCUUGACGGUACCUAAUCAGAAAGCCACGGCUAACUACGUG